rnacentral:rRNA from 1 species
CCUACGGGAGGCAGCAGUGAGGAAUAUUGGUCAAUGGACGAGAGUCUGAACCAGCCAAGUAGCGUGAAGGAUGACUGCCCUAUGGGUUGUAAACUUCUUUUAUAAAGGAAUAAAAUGAGGCACGUGUGCCUUUUUGCAUGUACUUUAUGAAUAAGGAUCGGCUAACUCCGUGCCAGCAGCCGCGGUAAUACGGAGGAUCCGAGCGUUAUCCGGAUUUAUUGGGUUUAAAGGGAGCGUAGAUGGGUUGUUAAGUCAGUUGUGAAAGUUUGCGGCUCAACCGUAACAUUGCAGUUGAUACUGGCAGUCUUGAGUACAGUUGAGGUAGGCGGAAUUCGUGGUGUAGCGGUGAAAUGCUUAGAUAUCACGAAGAACCCCGAUUGCGAAGGCAGCUUACUAAACUGUGACUGACAUUGAUGCUCGAAAGUGUGGGUAUCGAACAGGAUUAGAUACCCGAGUAGUC